rnacentral:rRNA from 1 species
AUUGAACGCUGGCGGAAUGCUUUACACAUGCAAGUCGAACGGUAGAGGGGGCAACCCCUUGAGAGUGGCGAACGGGUGAGUAAUAUAUCGGAACGUGCCCAGUCGUGGGGAUAACGUAGCGAAAGUUACGCUAAUACCGCAUACGAUCUACGGAUGAAAGCGGGGGACUCGCAAGAGCCUCGCGCGAUUGGAGCGGCCGAUAUCAGAUUAGGUAGUUGGUGGGGUAAAGGCUCACCAAGCCAACGAUCUGUAGCUGGUCUGAGAGGAUGAUCAGCCACACUGGGACUGAGACACGGCCCAGACUCCUACGGGAGGCAGCAGUGGGGAAUAUUGGACAAUGGGCGCAAGCCUGAUCCAGCAAUGCCGCGUGCAGGAUGAAGCU